CUGGCUGCCCCGAGGCAGCGGCAGUCAGGAAAGUGGUGUUAGAGAGAGUCCUCUGCAGUCUGCCAGCACCGUCCCACCUCCAGACACCGUCAUCCUGAAGUCAUGCGUUUCCAGUCCAGUCCCAAAGGGAGGCGGCGACAACUGGAGGCCAAUGCAGCUGACCGCUCUCGCCUUCAUGUUCCUGCUGACAGAGUACCUCCUCUCUUCCUCUGGUCCGGGUGCUGUACCGCCACGGCACAGGGCUACACCACCGCCAGCCACCCGCCCGGCCAUCACUCCACUCCAACGGCUCAAGCAGGAAACAGCCAAUGCGGGAGCCUCUCUCGGUUGCUAGGACACAGGCAGCGGCGUAGCAUCACAGCCUCUGAAGCGCCCAGAGUGUGAAACCUCCCCGCCUGCAGCUUCAUAGCAUCUGGCCCUCUGCUUAAUGACCCUCCUCUUCCUCCUCUUUCUCCUCCUCUUUCUCCUCUUCCUCCUCCUCCACUGCAUGUGCACCUGACCCUUUCUGUGUUUCCUUUAAAGGAUGCAACUACAAAAGCCUUCUGAUGCGGGGACAGGGAAAUCAAUAUUUUACCCCAAAAGGAAAGCGGGUGUGGGCGGGGCGGGAGCGGGGGUGUCUAUAUGAAUAUUUAUUUAGAUUAGAAUAAGAGUGACAGAAACGCCAUUACAGCUUGUCAUUAAACCCCCUUGUCCCUGCUCGCCCACUCCUCCUUUUAGCAGUGCUACCGCCAAGAGGUUGCGGGUUUGACUCCUAGGUGGGGGGACACUGCAUUCUGCCCUUGGCCAAAGUAAUAAAAAAAAUUUUCAAAAGCAGAACUGUUCGCCCCACACGCCCAAGCUACACAAGUGAGUGAUUUGUUGAUCUGAACUUACUUUGAAAUGUGAACUGUGUGAAUGACCCGGGAAGCAGGCAUGUGAAACUCGGCACAUAAACAAUGUCAUGUAACAUGAAUCUCAGGGAAGCAUUUGCCUGUUGCAGUGCGUCUGACCUGUGUCCACUGUUCUGGGUGACAGCCAAUGGCACUGCGGAACCCGGGACACUGAACGGUUACGCUGCCAGCGCAGUCCUUCCCACAGUUAAGAAGCUUAAACAGUUCACCAGCGUCCCCUGUGUGCUUUGAUUGUCCGACCCACUGUACCCUAAUCUGGGGGUCUGACUGCAAAGGCACGUAUUCAGACCAAGCCGUUAGCAGUGAAAAGACUGGGACUGAGGAGGAAGGACAACGCAGAGGCAGUGGGGCUUGUUUCAGUAUCUUACAGGUUUAGUGUGGGCUCACAUGGGACUUCUAUUUUUCCCUCCCUCUUAAUUCAGACUUCCUUAAAUACCUUUAUUCUCGAAAGGCACUCAAAGGAUGUUGAAGGAUUCACAGAGAAUACAG